UUUAUUCCAUACUCUGGUGUUUGACGAAUAAAACCUGGUUUUACCGCCACACGAAAGUAUGACGAGGGGGCGCCCAACCGUGUUUCUUAGAUUGAUCUACCGGUCGAUGAAGAUUGGCUGCAUAGGAUGCUCACUCCGACGUAAUUACAUGACGAGUUGCACUGACGUACUCAACAUGACCACACACCACGUCACAGCCGACUCUGUCGGAUGCAAAUGCUUUUUUCCUACUAGACAUAAAACCUGCAUUCAACUGCGGCGCCCGUAGUUGACCGGAGGAAGACUUGCCCGUUGACCGGAGGAAGACUUGCUCGUUGGCUUGUUGCUACUUCCCUUCCUCGACGACUCCCUGUCAGACUUUGAUGAUGAUCGAAUAUGCAGGGCCCAGAGGCUCGGCAGCUUCUCCCGACGACCCGCGCCGAGCCAAGUCUUUUUCAUAUACUGUAGUAUACAAUCGCGCCACUUUAGAUUUUUUUUCACCUGUCACUGCCAUGGCAUUUCGCAUUACCUAUAAUAAGGAGAAUAGAGAUGGAGGAUCCAAAGAACACACGUACGGAGAAAAUAUCCAAGUAACACAUAGGUAAGCUGUCGUAUAUACUAGUAAGAACGAAGAGAAUCAUGACCAGGCCGAAGAGCAUCAGUCCAAUGAUGAUCUACACCAAGACAUCCAAAAACACAAACGCGUACUCUGGUCAUCACGAUGUUUCCGAUCGGCUUCAUCUUAAAAAGCUAGGCUAGAACGGCUUAGUUUACUUGACCGGAGAAGACUUGGUUCACUUUCUCCGACGACCGCUGACGUCGGUCGGUCCGCAUGCGGGAGUCGCUGUGCAGGGCGCAGAGGCUCAGGCGGACUAGGCACCUUCGCCCCGACGACGCGCACGCGCCGAGUCAAGUCGUCGUUAUAUAAUCACGACGAAACCAUUCGCCAGUCUGCAUCACAAUAAUUAACAACAGGAAGGGAACCACAGCCGUUGAGUGAGAGAAUGGAGUGUGGUGGCAUCUCCGCCGUGCAGGUGCAACCGGCAGCGCCAAUGGAUCAGCCCGGCCAGCCGGCCAAGCCGCCGGUGCAGCCAUGGGAGUACAGCCUGCGGAAGUACCUCCUGCUGCUGGCCGCCCUGGUGGUCACCGUCACGUACGCCGCCGGCUUCAGCCCGCCGGGAGGCGUCUGGCAGACCGCCCACGACGGGCAGCCCGCCGGCGACCCCAUCAUCCGCGGAACCCACUACCGCCGCUACCUCGCCUUCUUCUACUGCAACGCCACCGCCUUCGCCGCGUCGCUCGUGGUCAUCGUCCUCAUCCUCAUCCUCGCCGUCCGCCACGACAAGAAGGGGAAGGACAGCCGCUGGGUCGUCGUGCCCCUGCGGCUGGUCAUGGUGCUGGACCUGCUCAGCCUCAUGGGCGCGUACGGCGCCGGUACCUGCCAGGACAAGGUCUGCAUCGUCUACUCCGCGGUGCUGGUGGCCGCCGUCUUCCUCUACAUCGCCGUUCUCAAGAUGAUGGACUGGUGGGGCCCAGACAACAAAUCCGGCUCUGGUUGCGACGGCACAAUGUCCACCGCACCCAACCGCAACUCCAACUUCGACGGCGUGAUGUCCACUCCUAAUCCCGACUCCGAUCCCGGCACGAUUUCUUCCCCCGUCCGCGACUCUGAUCCCAAUGUCAGAGAAGAAGAGGACCGUAAACGCGAGGCCUUGAAGAAGCUGAAAGCCGACGAACGGCUCCGCAAGGUACUGAUGCUCCUGGCGACGUUCGCGGUGAGCAUCACGUACGUCGCCGGGCUGAGCACGCCGGGUGGCUUCUGGGACACCACCGGGAUCAGCUACCGCCCGGGCGACGCAAUCCUCAAGGACCGCCACCGCCCGCGCCUGACGGUGUUCCUGCUCUGCAACACCACAUCGUUCGUAGCGUCCUUGCUCAUCAUCAUGCUGCUCAUCAUCGACGGCAAGAAGCUCCGCGAGAAGAAGGCUCGGUCGCUCGUGCUCUACGGGUUCAUCGUCGUCGCGCUUGUCAGCCUCGUCGGCGCUUACACCGCUGGCAGCUGCAGGGAGACAAAAACCACCAUCUACGUGGUCUCCCUGGCCGGCGGCAUUCUAGCAACAGCAUACAUCCUACUCUAUGCUUUCUACACUUUAAAGUCUUCUCGUUCCAGUCCAACGCAACAAAUUGAUGCAAUUCAGCAGACUACUGAUAAUGUCAGGUACUGUUUGCAACUGAACUGAACUCUGCUUCUUCAUUCUCCGCGACUGAACUGAACUCUGUUUCUUCUUUCACCGCAGUGCUAGAAAGGGUCUGGACAAGGCUCGCUCUCUUGUUCUACUGCUCGCCACUCUUGCCGCCACCAUCACCUACACAGCGGGGUUGGACCCACCAGGUGGCGUUUGGCAGGACAAGGGCGAUGGGUACAUCGCCGGCGACCCGAUUCUAAUCACAACGAACAUUAGGAGGUACAGGGCCUUCUACUACUGCAACUCGGUUGCGUUCGUGGCCUCCUUGGUGGUCAUCGUCCUGGUCCAGACGGAGAGGCUGAUCAAGCACCACGUGCUGGAGGCGGCCAUGAUACUCGACCUGUUUGGCCUCAUCGGCGCAUAUGCCGCCGGGAGCUGUCGGGGCGUGAAUUCCUCCAUUUACGUCAUGGCUUUGGCAGGCGCUGCCCUGAUCUAUGUGGUGAUCCAUAUUGUCUUUUUCACACUGGAGCUGGAUCACAAGGACAAGAAAGACGACGAUGAAGAUGAGUUGCUGGAGAAGAGGCGCAAACGGUUGCUCCUGUUCGCGAUCUUGGCGGCAACCAUCACCUUUCAAGCCGGCCUCACCCCUCCUGGCGGGUUCCUUCUCCAGGACGACACGCUCGGGCACCACGCCGGUGACCCGAUCCUCUUGCACAACUACCAAGUCCGUUACUAUGCCUUCUUCUACUGCAACUCAGUGAGCUUCAUGCUUUCCAUCGCCCUCAUCAUCCUCCUGGUGAACCCCAAUCUGUACAGACCAGCCAUACGAAGCAAUGCACUAUCCGUUUGCACGGCGGUGGGCUUGUUUUGUUUGAUGGGGGCCUACGCUGCCGGAAGCACGCAACACCGCAAGACAUCCAUCUACAUCUUCGUGUUGGUGGCCGUGGUCCUCCUCGUUGCAGCCGGACUGCUGCUGGUAUUUUUGCUGAAGAGAAAGCGCAGCAAUGCGGUAGUUGCGCCACCCAGAGAACAAAACGAAGAAGAAAGGAAGGAGGUAGAAGAAAAGAACGAGGAUGAAGAAGAAGCGAAGAAGCAUGCAGGGCGCAAGUACCUGAUGCUGCUAGGCAUCUUGGUGGCGAGCGUAGCCUACCAGGCCGGCCUCGAACCGCCCGGCGGGGCGUGGCAGAACAACGACAACGGGUACGAGGCGGGCAACCCGGUGAUGCACGACAACAGGAGGGCCCGGUACCUCGCCUUCUUCUACAGCAACUCCAUUUCCUUUGUGGCUUCCAUCGUUGUCAUCAUCAUGUUGCUACCGCAAUGGCUGCCAAAGAAGAAAGAAGGAGAAUGGGAGAAAUGGUCGCUGCGGGUGAUGAACUGGACGAUCCGACUGGAUCUGUUUGCUCUCCUGGUGGCCUAUGCAGCCGGCUCCAACAGGGGGUGGAAGACAUCUGUUUAUGUCGUCGCACUCGUCUUUGCCGUGCUGAGCUACUUUGCAAUCCAUACAGUACUGGCAUGUACUGUAUGUCGCCGUGAGAGGCACCAAAGCAGCUCUGUAGUGUAGCUCUACUAUGUGAGGGUGAUUGCUCAUCUGAGCUCCGUAGUGUAGAUCUCUAGUCAGCACGCCCUACUCUAGCUACAUGUUCCUCCUUGCUCAAGGGCUUAAUCGAAAAGCUUCCCAGUUUUUAGAUUCGUAGUCUAAUUGAUGUAAUCAGAUAUUCAGAUUAACCUGCAUCCCAGUUGGGGCAUGCUGACAUUGUUUGGCGACCCACUGGGCAGGUCUGUCUGUAUCUUAACCCUGCAUGGUAGGUGGCAUUUCCUGACCCUAUGUGUACUUUCUAUCUCACAAGAACUCGAAUGGGAAGUGCAUGAACUGCAAUUGCAUUUGUAUUCAGGAAAGUGAAGCAUUUGUUGCAACCGAAAUAUGCUUUAGUAUGUCACUGGUUACAGUCUGAAGCAUUGUGUAAUCCUAAUAGUAUUCUGGUCAGGUAGAGAGGAAACAUACCCUGGAUCCGUGACCCAACUCUUAACGGCGCAGUCUCCCUAGCGUGGCAAUUCACCGAACACCUGCAGGGCGCCCGACCCCGAAUGCAGAAGCAGGCAACUGAGCUGAC
rnacentral:lncRNA from 1 species